AGUGAACGCUGGCGGUAGGCCUAACACAUGCAAGUCGAACGGCGGCACAGUAAGAGCUUGCUCUUACGGGUGGCGAGUGGCGGACGGGUGAGGAAUACAUCGGAAUCUACUUUUUCGUGGGGGAUAACGUAGGGAAACUUACGCUAAUACCGCAUACGACCUACGGGUGAAAGCAGGGGAUCUUCGGACCUUGCGCGAUUGAAUGAGCCGAUGUCGGAUUAGCUAGUUGGCGGGGUAAAGGCCCACCAAGGCGACGAUCCGUAGCUGGUCUGAGAGGAUGAUCAGCCACACUGGAACUGAGACACGGUCCAGACUCCUACGGGAGGCAGCAGUGGGGAAUAUUGGACAAUGGGCGCAAGCCUGAUCCAGCCAUACCGCGUGGGUGAAGAAGGCCUUCGGGUUGUAAAGCCCUUUUGUUGGGAAAGAAAAGAAGCAGGUUAAUACCCCGCUGUUCUGACGGUACCCAAAGAAUAAGCACCGGCUAACUUCGU
rnacentral:rRNA from 1 species